UACUAAUGCUAUAUAGUCUUCUCGCUAUUUAGUGAGCGUUGGAAAUUUAUAUAAAAAAAAAAAAGGGACUUGAAUUAUAUCCUACGGUGCACAAAGCUCAAUGCUGGUGCCCUGCCUCUCGACUGGAGAUUAUAAAUCUUAAACUCAUUAACGUGCUAUAUUUUUGAAUUUUGCAUGCUCAAAUCGUAAUAGUUUUUGAGCAAGAAAGUUUUGCAGAUUUGAGCAUGCAAAAAAUACAGCAUAUUAAUGAGGCUAAAACCUAUGAAAUGCAAGUUGUAUUGGUGCCCAGAACUGUCUAAGGACUUUGUAGAUAAAUGUUAACCCCUUAAGGACGCUGGACGGAAAUUUUCCGUGAUUGUAGC